UGCGCAUGCGCCGGAAGUUGCUGCCGCAGACAGCAGCAGUGAUUCGGCGCGCGCAGGGACACGGAGUAAACCUGUCCGUUUUCAACCAUGGACACCGAAUAAACGAUGCCAUUGGCGGAGGUUCACGGAGACUCGGUGGAUCGUUCCCGUCGCCUGUGCCGGUCCUCCCUCCCUCCCUCCAUCUGCCCCCCCCCCCCCCCCCCCAGUGUGUGUCUGUAAUGGAUGUGAUUAAAGCCGAACUGCAGUGACUAUGGAAGAGGUCGGAUGGACUCUGCUCAGGGUAAGACCGGGGGGGGGGGGUGUCCUCAUCAGCUGAUGCAGUUUCAGGGGUCACAGCAGGAGGAGGCGAUGCGCUCCGCUUCCUCCUGCACCAGCCGCACAUGAUUGGCCCUAAAAGUGCAGUUUUGCAGCGUAGCUUUUCUUCCUCUGCAUUUUCCAAAGAGCUGAUAAUUCCAUUUCAGAGCUGGUUGACUGGGAAACGGACUCAGACUCAGUGCCGUUCUGGUGGAAGGAGGCGCUUUGCUUUGCAUGGGGGUGCCAUGUUUCCCAGCACAGGGAAGAUUAAUGAGGUCUGGAGACAAAUGACAGUAAAGGUCUGAGCUGCUGAUUGGAGAAUGCACUUCAGCACUAAUGACAGGAAUCUGACAAUGUGAGGCACUGGCCCAGGCUUCCAGUGCAUUAAAGGGGUGGAGGGUGAACAGGUGCACUGACUGACUGACUGUGGUGGAGUUCCUACAGGCUGUAGGGGUUCUGCUGAAGGUGGAGGACAGGGAGGAGCAGAGGUGGAGGAACAGGGUCUGGAAAAAAAAACAAAAAAAGGGUGUGUUAAAAAAACAAACAGGGGGUUAAAAAAAACAAAAACAACAGGGUGUGUUUAAAAAAAAAAAAACAGG